rnacentral:rRNA from 1 species
AGUGAACGCUGGCGGUAGGCCUAACACAUGCAAGUCGAACGGCAGCACAGUAAGAGCUUGCUCUUACGGGUGGCGAGUGGCGGACGGGUGAGGAAUACAUCGGAAUCUACUUUUUCGUGGGGGAUAACGUAGGGAAACUUACGCUAAUACCGCAUACGACCUACGGGUGAAAGCAGGGGAUCUUCGGACCUUGCGCGAUUGAAUGAGCCGAUGUCGGAUUAGCUAGUUGGCGGGGUAAAGGCCCACCAAGGCGACGAUCCGUAGCUGGUCUGAGAGGAUGAUCAGCCACACUGGAACUGAGACACGGUCUAGACUCCUACGGGAGGCAGCAGUGGGGAAUAUUGGACAAUGGGCGCAAGCCUGAUCCAGCCAUACCGCGUGGGUGAAGAAGGCCUUCGGGUUGUAAAGCCCUUUUGUUGGGAAAGAAAGGCAGCAGGUUAAUACCCCGCUGUUCUGACGGUACCCAAAGAAUAAGCACCGGCUAACUUCGUG